rnacentral:pre_miRNA from 1 species
UCUUACGGAUAAGCAAAGACAAUGGUUUCUUCAGAUGGAAUCUGCUCUUAGUGAAGAUGCUGUGAA